GACGAACGCUGGCGGCGUGCCUAAUACAUGCAAGUCGAACGCAGUGGGGAUGGGUGAGUAACACGUGGGUAACCUCCCAUCAGAGGGGAUAACACUUGGCAACCGGUGCUAAACCGAUACUGAUGGAUGGACCAGCGGGGCAUUAGCGAGUGGGUGUGGAAACGGCUCACCAAGGCCACGAUGCAUAGCCGACCUGAGAGGGUGACCGGCCACACUGGGACUGAGACACGGCCCAGACUCCUACGGGAGGCAGCAGUAGGGAAUCUUCCGCAAUGGGCGAAAGUCUGACCGAGCAACGCCGCGUGAGUGAAGAAGGUUUUCGGAUCGUAAAACUCUGUUGGUAGAGAAGCGGUAUCUAACCAGAAAGCCACGGCUAACUACGUGCCAGCAGCCGCGGUAAUUC
rnacentral:rRNA from 1 species